rnacentral:tRNA from 1 species
GGGGCCGUAGCUCAGUUGGUAGAGCGCUAGAAUCGCACUCUAGAAGUCAGGGGUUCGACUCCCCUCGGCUCCACCA